CCCUAAAUGCCCAUAUUGAUAAAGUCCAACAUGAUGUGAUGAGGUUAGAAAUAUGAUUUGUGAUGGAAUUCCUCAGUAAGAAAACUGUAUUUUUUUGGAAAAAUCUGCCUUGAUAAUUUUGCUUGGAAGUUUUCAGUUCAUUCCAAGGGAUCUGAGUCCUGCUUUUUCUUCCAGAGAGGUCAGAGCAAAGGAAGAAGACACUGUGUGACAAGUCCAGGCAAAUGGAGAAAAAUGUGAUUUCUUCCCAUGAACUUGUGAAACUUUAGGAAAGUUUUAGUAUGCAUGAAAUCAUUGGUUUGAAUUGAACGUUUGUGGAAAUUUAACCAACAAGCUGAAUUUUGGAUCUAGAUCAGCAGAGGCUGAAACAAGGCAGCACACACAGAGCCAGGGCGAAGAUCACAUAUGGUAUGAGAUUUCGUCAGAAAUUUGUGGGGCGCAUGGAUCGUCCUGGUCAUCAAAAUGAGGAAGUCGUGCCUUUGGAGCACACAGACCUUCAGAAAGGAAAACAUUUCAGGUUCCUAUCAGGAAAAUCAGCUACCCUCUGCUGAACCCAUUCAGAGUUCAGCCACUGAGAGGAAACACGAAAGCUGACACGUUCACUAGCCUGAACACAUGAAACUAAUAAAAACCAAAGCAAAACAGGCUUAACCCACCCAUCACCUUCUGAAGAGAAUACCUAUGACUCAAAAUUAGAGUGACUUUGACUUCAUCCAGGAGGAGAACAAGGCUGAGUGAACAGUGCCACCCAGGAUGCUCAUCACAACAGUAAAGUGAAAGGAGGAAGUGAUGCAACAGUGCCAUUGUUCCAAAGUAGAAGGAAAAGCUGAACAGAAGGCUCUCUCUCCAGAUUCCACAUGUUUACUGGACGGUUCUCGAUGUUGACCAUUCUGAGUUACUAUUCCCUGGUACAUAAUAUAUCCUCUCAGAAAAAGAGAUGUAAGAAGUAAAGAUAAUCCUGGCUUUUUGUCCCAGAGACUUGCCUGAAAGAUGUGAGCUUUUCCUCCAAGUCCUCCCCACUAUCUCCCAUGGGGCUCUCGUCAGAGACAACAUCGCGCUGCCGGGGCUUUCAGUCUCCGAACCAUGAGCAGAAUACCCCUUCUUCCCUUCAUACGUAGCCUGCUUUGGGU
ensembl:lncRNA